AAUCAACGCUGGCGGCGUGCCUAACACAUGCAAGUCGAACGCGAAAGGGGACUUCGGUUCCUGAGUAGAGUGGCGUACGGGUGAGUAACGCGUGGGUCAUCUGCCCUCGGGUGGGGAAUAACUAAUCGAAAGGUUAGCUAAUACCGCAUAACACAGUGAUGUCAAAGCAGCAAUGUGCCUGAGGAGGAGCCUGCGUCUGAUUAGGUAGUUGGUGGGGUAACGGCCUACCAAGCCUGCGAUCAGUAGCUGGUCUGAGAGGACGGCCAGCCACAAUGGCACUGAAACACGGGCCAUACUCCUACGGGAGGCAGCAGUGGGGAAUUUUGCGCAAUGGGCGAAAGCCU
rnacentral:rRNA from 1 species